rnacentral:lncRNA from 1 species
UAGGAGAUGAGACUACCAGUGGAGCAGAAUUCCGGCAGUUCUCCAGGGGCUGCCUGUCACGAGGGCACUCAAGCUGCCUGCAGAGAGGCCCAUACGGGGAGCAUCUAAGGUCCCGCCAACAGCUGGCACCAACUUGCCAACCAUCCGGGAAGAAGACCCUCCAGCCCCAGUCAAGCUUGCAAAUGGCUGUGGCUCUGGCUGAUGUCUCAACUGCAACCUCUUGAAAGACUCCAAGCCAGAAUGUUCCUGAAUUUCUGACCCCCCAAGACUGUGAGAUAUAUUAAAUGUGUAUUGUU